rnacentral:rRNA from 1 species
UACGGAGGGUGCGAGCGUUGUCCGGAAUCAUUGGGCGUAAAGGGCGCGUAGGUGGCCUGCUAAGCGUGCGGUGAAAGCUCGGGGCUCAACCCCGAGUCGGCCGUGCGAACUGGUGGGCUUGAGCACUGUAGAGGCAGGCGGAAUUCCGGGUGUAGCGGUGGAGUGCGUAGAGAUCCGGAAGAACACCGGUGGCGAAGGCAGCUCUCUGGGGACGGUACUGACGCUGAGACGCGAAAGCGUGGGGAGCGAACAGG